GGGGCUUCAAAUCUUCCUAUUUCUCGCAACUCUAUUGUUCUUAUCCCAUGCACAGUCCGACGUCGUUGUGAGUUCAAUCCUUCAACUACGCCCCCCCCUCCGGCACCGGCGGCCACCGCGUCGAUGGCGUGAACUGCAUGAGCUGGCGGCUGGCGGUGGAAACCAACAACCUCCAAGGCUGGAAGCUGGUGCCGAUGUCCUGCGAGACCUACGUCGGCAAUUACAUGCUCGGCAUGCAGUACCGCCUCGACUGCGAGGCCGUGGCCGACGCCGCCAUCGAGUACGCGAAGACCGUCAAACCCGCCGCCGACGGCAAGGACGUUUGGGUUUUUGAUAUUGACGAAACCACCCUCUCCAACCUCCCCUACU
rnacentral:lncRNA from 1 species